UACAGAGGGCGCGAGCGUUGUCCGGAAUCACUGGGCGUAAAGGGCGCGUAGGUGGCGGCAUAAGGCCGUGGUGAAAGUCUGGGGCUCAACCCCAGAUCGGCCAUGGCGACUGUGUCGCUAGGGUACUGUAGAGGCAGGUGGAAUUCCGGGUGUAGCGGUGGAAUGCGUAGAGAUCCGGAAGAACACCAGUGGCGAAGGCGGCUCACUGGCCCGGUACUGACGCUGAGGUGCGAAAGCGUGGGGAGCAAACAGG
rnacentral:rRNA from 1 species